GACCCCAUAGCUCAGUGGUAGAGCGUGAGAUUCCAGCAGGCGGCUUCCAAUUGAACCGCUUGGUGAGUCCUCAAGGUCAUCCGUUCAAUCCGGGUUGGGGUCA